UGCGGAGGUUGGAGGCAAGAGGCAUGGGAUCCUCUUGGAGCUGACAGUUGUGAACCAUCAGAUGUGGGUGCUGGGAACUGAACUCAGGUCCUCUGGAAGACCAAUCUGCCCUGCAUCUGAAGCCUUGUUAUCCAUGCUGUUGGUGUGGUGGUCAGAUCACAAGUCCAACACCAGCGUCUGCUACAUGAGAGCUUACGCAAGCCUACGUAGGCAGAAGUGUCUGAGGAGAGCUUGUUACAUAGACACAAAUAUUUUUGCCUCUUCUGCUUUAAAGGGCUGCUGUAACUUGCACCUUCCUUUUCCAGUGAACCCCACAAAUAGACAUCAUCGAAAGCCAAA